rnacentral:rRNA from 1 species
CCUACGGGAGGCUGCAGUGAGGAAUAUUGGUCAAUGGGCGCAAGCCUGAACCAGCCAAGUCGCGUGAGGGAAGACUGCCCUAUGGUUUGUAAACCUCUUUUAUAAGGGAAGAAUAAUGACUACGUGUAGUCGGAUGCCCGUACCUUAUGAAUAAGCAUCGACUAACUCCGUGCCAGCAGCCGCGGUAAUACGGAGGAUGCGAGCGUUAUCCGGAUUUAGUGGGUGUAAAGGGUGCGUAGGCGGGAAUUUAAGUUAGUGGUAAAACGUCGGGGCUUCACCUUGAUUGGCCAUUAAAACUGGAGUACUAGAGUACAGACGAGGUAGGCGGGAUAAGUUAAGGAGCGGUGAAAUGCUGAGAUAUAAAGUAGAACCCCGAUAGCGAAGGGAGCUUACCAGACUGUUAAUGACGGUGAAGCACGAGAGCGUGGGUAGCGAACAGGAUUAGAUACCCCUGGUAGUC